UGUUCCAUCCCUUGGAUCAUUUUUGUGGCCCUCCUCUGGAUGUGCUCCAACAGUUCCAUGUCUCUUCUGUACUGAGUACUCCAUAUCUGAACGCAGAACAGAUGUAUAACAAAGUACACUGUGGUUUGUUCAUGGAUUAAACAAUUCAGCAUUUUGGACGUAAUCUGGAAUUACAUUGCUGCUUUAGGUGGUGUUUUGAUGCUCAGAAGAUCACGGACUACUCAUUCUCUGCAUGGCUCACAGAGAUGGAAGAACUGGAGGAACAGAGAUGUGAAGCUGUCCGCUCAGAGCUAUAUAGGAGGCCAGUGACAAAUCCAGGAAUCCAAGCCAAAGCUCCUAAGUUGCAUUCUAAUUCUCUAAUCAGCACAGAAUUUGCCUUCUGGCAUUGUGAUGAGAUGACGCGCGCAGGCUCUGACUGAGAAAAUGGGGCUUCCCAGCAAGAAUACAGUGGUUGGAGGUUCAACAGUGUUGGGAGUCUGGAAAAAGAUGAACCCCCAGGCACAGCAGCAGUGGUUGUGGGAGAGGAGAAACAAACAUUCUCCUUGCAUCACUCAUGCCAGCAGUCUGAGCAGGAGGAAGGUAGAGGAACACUCCUACAGAGAACCAGGACUGGUUUGUCUCUUUAGAAGGGAGCAAUGAUAUUUUGAACAUUUUUACCAAAUCCCAGAGUGUGCAACAGCAUUUUAUGGACUGGGAAUUAUAUAACCGAAAAACUGUGAGAUGGGAAAGAAUUAUAGGAAGCCAUGGAGAGCUGCAACCUAAGCAUCCUGAAAUUGGUGACCAAGCCCCAAGGAUGCCUCUUGUUACUGCAGCCACUUUCAAUGACUGCUGUUUUUUUGUGUGAUUUACCAGCCCCAGUGAGCUCCCCAAGACAGAAUAGGUAAAGAUGGGCUUCAAGUUGAGCCAGGGGAGAUUUAGGUUGGAUAUCAGGAAACAUUUCUUUACAGAAAGGGUUGUUAAGCAAUGGAAUAGGCU